GACGAACGCUGGCGGCGUGCUUAGCACAUGCAAGUCGAACGGUAAGGCCCUUCGGGGUACACGAGUGGCGAACGGGUGAGUAACACGUGGGUGAUCUGCCCUGCACUUCGGGAUAAGCCUGGGAAACUGGGUCUAAUACCGGAUAGGACCACUGCCUGCAUGGGUGGUGGUGGAAAGCUUUUGUGGUGUGGGAUGGGCCCGCGGCCUAUCAGCUUGUUGGUGGGGUGAUGGCCUACCAAGGCGACGACGGGUAGCCGGCCUGAGAGGGUGACCGGCCACACUGGGACUGAGAUACGGCCCAGACUCCUACGGGAGGCAGCAGUGGGGAAUAUUGCACAAUGGGCGCAAGCCUGAUGCAGCGACGCCGCGUGAGGGAUGACGGCCUUCGGGUUGUAAAUCUCUUUCAGCACCGACGAAGCGCAAGUGACGGUAGGUGCAGAAGAAGGACCGGCCAACUACGUGCCAGCAGCCGCGGUAA
rnacentral:rRNA from 1 species